rnacentral:rRNA from 1 species
UGGGGAAUAUUGGACAAUGGGCGAAAGCCUGAUCCAGCCAUGCCGCGUGUGUGAAGAAGGUCUUCGGAUUGUAAAGCACUUUAAGUUGGGAGGAAGGGCAGUAAGCGAAUAACUUGCUGUUUUGACGUUACCGACAGAAUAAGCACCGGCUAACUCUGUGCCAGCAGCCGCGGUAAUACAGAGGGUGCAAGCGUUAAUCGGAAUGACUGGGCGUAAAGCGCGCGUAGGUGGUUCGUUAAGUUGAAUGUGAAAGCCCCGGGCUCAACCUGGGAACUGCAUCCAAAACUGGCGGGCUAGAGUAGGGCAGAGGCUGGUGGAAUUUCCUGUGUAGCGGUGAAAUGCGUAGAUAUAGGAAGGAACACAAGUGGCGAAGGCGACCACCUGGGCUCAUACUGACACUGAGGUGCGAAAGCGUAGGGAGCACACAGA